AGCAGAUGUCACAUCCCUAUACACAGUUAUUGAACAUCUACAGGGAUGUGAGGCCAUUCAAUAUGCACUUGCCACUUUUUCAGAACUUAAGAAUGAUCAAAUUGAGUAUAUUGUAAAAUGUGUAGCCUUUAUUCUCAGUCAUAAUUUUUUUUGGGCUAACAAUCAUUAUUAUCUACAAAUCGAGGGCACUGCCAUGGGAACCAGAUUUGCGCCUAGUUAUGCUAAUUUAUUCAUGGGAAAAUGGGAAGACGAACAAAU